rnacentral:rRNA from 1 species
AUUGAACGCUGGCGGCAGGCCUAACACAUGCAAGUCGAGCGGAUGAAGGGAGCUUGCUCCUGGAUUCAGCGGCGGACGGGUGAGUAAUGCCUAGGAAUCUGCCUGGUAGUGGGGGAUAACGUCCGGAAACGGGCGCUAAUACCGCAUACGUCCUGAGGGAGAAAGUGGGGGAUCUUCGGACCUCACGCUAUCAGAUGAGCCUAGGUCGGAUAGCUAGUUGGUGGGGUAAAGGCCUACCAAGGCGACGAUCCGUAACUGGUCUGAGAGGAUGAUCAGUCACACUGGAACUGAGACACGGUCCAGACUCCUACGGGAGGCAGCAGUGGGGAAUAUUGGACAAAGGGCGAAAGCCUGAUCCAGCCAUGCCGCGUGUGUGAAGAAGGUCUUCGGAUUGUAAAGCACUUUAAGUUGGGAGGAAGGGCAGUAAGUUAAUACCUUGCUGUUUUGACGUUACCAACAGAAUAAGCACCGGCUAACUUCGUG